GAAGAAAGCCUUUGAUAUAUCUUGAUCCAUUGAUAAUUAGUAGAGAAGCAUCAUGUAAAGAUAGAUAACUUUUUAUAGUGUGCUUACUGCGUGCCAGGUGCCCUUGUAGGGACUUUGCAUAAAUUAAAUCCUUUAAUCCUCAAAAUGGUGGUAUGAAGUUAAGCCUUAUCUUUAUCCUUCUUUCAUAAUGAGGACAUCAAGGCAUGGAAGCAUGGAGAUACCCAAAUUACAUAGCAAGUACGUGGUAGUAUUGGAAUGUGAACCCAUGUUGCCUUUAAUCAUAACCACGCUGCCUAUUUUAAUAGGUAAGGUGAAGAGAAUUAUGAGUAAUUCCAGGAGUUCUGAAAAAGUAAGAAGCAUACCAAGACUCAUACCAAAGAAAGAUUGUGACCAGCUGUGUCGGAAUACAUGUGUAGAAAUUGAGGGUUGAAAGAAGAUAGAUUCACCACAUUACCCAGAGUAAGCUCAAUCUCUCAUCUUCUCAGAAACAAAACCUCUCAGAUGAUUGGUCUAAUUAUCAAGAGGUGCUGGUGAGGCAUCAUCAGUUGAUCAUAAUGCUAACAAAUCAUGCCAAAAUUGUUUAUAAUACUGAAAGGACAACAGUAUGUCUUGCCAGUCAUACUUUAAGAACGUAUCAUUUCAGGAAAACAUGACAGGUUGCCAGAAAUGAAAACUGAUCUUGAAAAUACCCACUGACAUGAUAAGUGCCCUGUGACUCUAGAAAGAGGAAGAAGGCAGGCAGGGAGGGCAAACAUGGCCACUGGAUUAAGUCUGAAUCACUCUGGAAAUGUCACUCAGGGCUCAGGUCCUGACUAAGGAUCAUAACAUGCAAACUGCAACGUUUGCUGGUCAGAGGCAAUAUUUCUUCCCCUGUUGGUUAAAGGUUUCUUUAACACUGGAAGAUAUAAACUAAUUGAGAGAUAUGAAUAAGUGAGUCAGUUUUUAAUAUGCUAAAUGAGGGUAGAACAAUAGCUACUUUAAUCAUUGUAAUAAUUUGUGUUCUUUUUCUAUUAAUCUACUUGUCUG
rnacentral:lncRNA from 1 species